rnacentral:rRNA from 1 species
AGAGUUUGAUCCUGGCUCAGAAUCAACGCUGGCGGCGUGCCUAACACAUGCAAGUCGAACGAGAAAGUACUCUUCGGAGUGCGAGUAAAGUGGCGAACGGGUGAGUAACGCGUGGGUGAUCUGCCCUUUGGCGGGGGAUAACCCGGGGAAACCCGGGCUAAUACCGCAUAAGCCUGCAUUUGUAAGCGAGUGCAGGGAAAGUUUUCGGAUACCGAAGGAGGAGCCCGCGUCCGAUUAGCUAGUUGGUGAGGUAAGAGCUCACCAAGGCGACGAUCGGUAGCCGGUCUGAGAGGACGGACGGUCACACUGGGACUGAGACACGGCCCAGACUCCUACGGGAGGCAGCAGUGGGGAAUUUUGGGCAAUGGGCGCAAGCCUGACCCAGCAACGCCGCGUGGAGGAUGAAGGUUUUCGGAUCGUAAACUCCUGUCUAGAGGGACGAAGAAAGUGACGGUACCUCUGGAGGAAGCCCCGGCUAACUCCGUGCCAGCAGCCGCGGUAAUACGGGGGGGGCAAGCGUUGUUCGGAAUUACUGGGCGUAAAGGGCGCGUAGNCGGUUUCGGAAGUCAUGGGUGAAAGUCCUCGGCUCAACCGAGGGAUUGCCUGUGAAACCACGGAAACUGGAGUGCUGGAGAGGGAAGCGGGAAUUUCCCAGUGUAGCGGUGAAAUGCGUAGAUAUUGGGAGGAACACCUGUGGCGAAGGCGGCUUCCUGGACAGACACUGACGCUGAGGCGCGAAAGCCAGGGGAGCGAACGGGAUUAGAUACCCCGGUAGUCCUGGCUGUAAACGAUGAACACUUGGUGUGGGGGGUGAUGAAAGUCCCUCUGUGCCGGAGAGAACUCAUUAAGUGUUCCGCCUGGGGAGUACGGCCGCAAGGCUGAAACUCAAAGGAAUUGACGGGGGCCCGCACAAGCGGUGGAGCAUGUGGUUUAAUUCGACGCAACGCGAAGAACCUUACCGGGGUUUGAACUGCACCUGAGCGAUCUAGAGAUGGAGAGGUUCCCUUAGGGGACAGGUGCAGAGGUGCUGCAUGGCUGUCGUCAGCUCGUGUCGUGAGAUGUUGGGUUAAGUCCCGCAACGAGCGCAACCCUUGUCUGUAGUUGCCAUCAGGUAAUGCUGGGCACUCUACGGAGACUGUCGGCGAGAAGCCGGAGGAAGGUGGGGAUGACGUCAAGUCCUCAUGGCCUUUAUGUCCCGGGCUACACACGUGCUACAAUGGGCGGUACAGAGGGCAGCGAACCUGUGAAGGCAAGCGAAUCCCAGAAAACCGCUCUCAGUUCGGAUUGCAGUCUGCAACUCGACUGCAUGAAGUUGGAAUCGCUAGUAAUCGCGGAUCAGAACGCCGCGGUGAAUACGUUCCCGGGCCUUGUACACACCGCCCGUCACAUCACGAAAGUGGGCUGUACUAGAAGCCGCCGGCCGAACCUUCGGGACGGAGGCGUCGACGGUAUGGCUCAUGAUUGGGGUGAAGUCGUAACAAGGUA